UACGAAGGGGGCUAGCGUUGUUCGGAAUUACUGGGCGUAAAGCGCGCGCAGGCGGUUCUUCAAGUCAGUGGUGAAAGCCCGGAGCUCAACUCCGGAACUGCCAUUGAAACUGUAGAACUUGAGGAUGAGAGAGGUGAGUGGAAUUCCCAGUGUAGAGGUGAAAUUCGUAGAUAUCCGGAGGAACACCAGUGGCGAAGGCGACACGCUGGGCCGUACCUGACACUGAUGCGCGACAGCAUGGGGAGCAAACAGG
rnacentral:rRNA from 1 species